CAAUGAGGGGGGGAGAGAGAAAAUGGGAGGCUAAGGUUAGCCAAGCCUCUUUCUCUCCAUUGGUUAGAGUCCUCGUUCCUUGCUACCUACGACUGGGGGCUCUGACAAGCACAAUUUACAUUGAGCUCGCCCCGCGCUGCUAUUUACUUUGAAACCUGAUUAGUAUGGGCCGUCUAUUGUCACAAAAAGAGGAAGAAACCCUGGAUAGAAUAGCCGAAAAGAGGGAACCCCCUGAUGAAGACUUGAAAAGCAACAACUUUGCCUCGACUGAAAUGGGGAAAAUACUUCAAGGUAAAUAACUUUAACAGGGGUUGUAUAGACCUAAAGGCUGCCAUUAACAUUCUACAUAAACAAUGAUUAUGUAGGUUAAAAUGGGAACAUAAACAGACUGCUUAUCCAACAAAUCUAGACAAAGUAGCCUAGGUGCAUGCCAUUUUGAAACUGUUUAAACUCUAAGUAGGCUCGCCUAUGUGUAGACAGGCAAUAUGCUGCAAACAUACACGCCUAGUAGGUUAUAAUGUAAAGUAAUAGUUGAAAGCCUACAUAUUAAGUAGUCUAAUGUGUUAAACUAUUAUCCGUUAUAAUGAACCGUAAAUAUGCAAGUGCCCCCCUUGGAAAGUGCUUGGUAGGGAUGGGUGUUUUUAAGUAUUCAACUACAGAGCUCUCUCCCGUCCCUGUCUCGGACACUUCACUGCAACUCCCGCUCAUGUCUCCAGCUCUUUGAAAAGGUGAAACGAAUAAGAUUAAAUCGGACAAAGGAAUUUCUGUAAGUGUAUCAUUAAGAUUUAACUCCACAGAUUGCAAAAAAAAGCACGGAGGAGAGAGAGAGAGAGUGAGGGAGAGAAUGGACGGACAGCGAAUGAGAGCAGAGAAGGCAAUAGCACCAAAACGGCGAGAGAAAGAAGAAAGUGGACAGCAGUACAUUUAAAAGAUGAAGCAACGGCGGCGGCUAUUACCAGUGACCGGAUAGCUCUCUCCAUGAAUAUGGCUAGAACCAGUAAGGCAAAGAGGAAGACCAUGCCAAGUCUCCCGGGCAACAGGAUCCGCUUCGCUGGAAACCGGAGCGGAUCACCGCGUCACGGCGGCAGGAUCCGCACAGCGCUGUGUCGUCACUUUACCUGAUUGUUGCCGACGGCUAAUGUCGAAUCUCACAAGCGGCCUGAUAUCGUGUCCUACCGUGCUGGGAUGGGGGUGUGGUUACCCUCCGCUGAAAACAGAACAAAAUGUUGUAGUUUUGUUCAUGUAGGCCCCUACGUGGUGUUUGAUUGGGUGUAGGUGGAAAGGCGGAGUGCCGCUGGUACCUGUGGGUGCUGCUGUGUCUGCCGUGAGGGUGGGGGUUCUGACUUCCUGGUUCAUCCUGCUGUCAGUCUCCCAUCCCUGACCUCAUCCACUCAGAAGUGUCCUGAGAGUUUAGGAAACAAACCCCGACAUUAGGUGCUGUCGAUCCGACGUCAGGUAAGUGCGUUUGUGAUACAGAGAAAGUUGGCGGCAGAGUGUGUGUCAUUGGCUUUCUCAGGAAAUAUCUGUUCUUGGGAGAGGGCUGUUUAAAAAGAUGUUUGUGUGUGUGUGUGAUGGCAACGUCCCUUUGCUUCGGGCCACCCAAACAGGCAUUUCAGCUUGAGGUCAAGCCCUAACAAAUGAGAUGGCCGAUUUCAAGAGCUUUACAGGAAACAUUAGGCAACACGUUUCUCUCUUGUCCUACCCUGUUCUUCCUCCUCAUCCCCGCCCUCCUCCUCACAAUGUCACUCUCUUCAAAGGUCUUCAGAAUGUACUCAUCACACAUAAACAUGUUUCAUCUUCUGAGGGAGGCUGCAGGAAUCCCACAGAGUAUGACACACAGAGGUGGACUUGAAGCUAUCACUUUGACGUGCUGUUAAGGACCUCCUUUCUCUACGGAGCGCUAGAUAUUUGAGAAAGGGAAAAAAAAGACAAAUCUUGGACUGAACUCUCAGGGUGUGCGCGUGGGAGGCUUCAGAUCAUGACAGCCAGGGUUUGAGAUGAGACAUGUUAUAGUUCUGGGUUUUACCACAGCGUAGCAUUUCCGGCAACAUUUCUCACGGUACCUCCCCUUCUGGUAUCCUGUCUGCUGAAAUACCCCUCCAUUAACCCCCCC